CAAAAGGUUUUACUCAAAACCCCAACAUAGAUUACUUUGAUACUUUU
rfam:Vigna radiata var. radiata cultivar VC1973A chromosome 4, whole genome shotgun sequence